rnacentral:rRNA from 1 species
AGCAAAUGGUGGAUGCCUAGGUCGUUUGGGCCGAAGAAGGACGUAGAAGGCGACGAUACGCGUUGGGGAGCUGUCAACAAGCGACGAUCCAACGAAUUCCGAAUGUGGCAACACCGGGCUGUGAAAGCAGUCUGAACCACUGCUUCACAUUUUAUAUAUAAUUUGAAAUUUUUAAUUUUUAAUUUUUAAUCAAUUUAAAAUAUUAAAUGUCUUAAUUUUUAAACAUUAAAACAUUUUUUAAUUAAAAAUUGAUUUUAAAUUUUAAAUUUUAAAUUAAAAAUUUGUAUUUGGUGUGAAGCAGCGGUGGGUAAGCCGGGGAAGCGAAACAUCCUAGUACCCGGAGGAAAAGAAAUCGAAAGAGAUUCCGUUAGUAGCGGUGAGCGAAAACGGAAGAGACUAAACCUGCCUUAUCGGCAGGGGUUGAAGGGUUUUGCAUAAUGUUUUGAACGAAAAGGAGAAAGUUUUGGAAUGGACUAUCAAAGAGGGUGAAAAUCCCGUAUCUGAAAUUUUAGUAAAAACAGGCAGAAUACCUAAGUACCAGGGUCCACGUGAAAUGUCCUGGGAAUCAGGGGCGACCAAGCUCCAAGUCUAAAUACUCAAACGGACCGAUAGUGAACUAGUACCGUGAGGGAAAGGUGAAAAACACCCCAAGUAGGGGAAUGAAAUAGAUCUGAAACCAUUUGCUAACAAACAGACAGAGCUCGUGCUUUGCACUCGCAAUUUAAAAUUUUUAAUUUUUAAUUUUUAAUCAAUUUUCAAUGCAUAAAUGUUUAAAAAUUUUGACAUUUGUAAUUUGAAUUUGAUUUUAAAUUUUAAAUUUUAAAUUAAAAAUUUCGAGCGCAGAGCGCGAGUGAUGUCGUGCCUAUUGAAGAAUGAGCCCGGGAGUGAUUGUAGUCAUCAAGUUUAAGGUCCGAAGGGACCGGAGGCGUAGCGAAAGCGAGUGCGAAUAGCGCGAAUAGAUGGCUGCAUUUGACCCGAAGCCGCUCGAGCUAACCUUGAGCAGGUUGAGUGUCGAUGAAAGUCGACAGGAGGACCGAACGGAUCAGAGCUGCAAAUCUGUCCGAUGACUUGAGGUUAGGGGUAAUAUGCCAAUCGAGAGCGGGAAUAGCUGGCUCUCUCCGAAAUAUAUAUAGGUAUAGCGUCUGAUG